rnacentral:tRNA from 1 species
GGAAGGGUGGCAGAGUGGUCGAUUGCAGCGGUCUUGAAAACCGCCGUGCGGCAACGCACCGUGGGUUCGAAUCCCACCCCUUCCGCCA